UUUCUGCGGAGCCUCAUUAUAAAAACUUGCAGUCCUAAAGAAUCUUGUUUUGGAGUUGCUAAAAUGAACAAUAUGCUUUAUUGUGUGUUUGUAUGUUUCUAAAGGAAAAAAGAUAUGCCCCCUUUUCUUUACUGGAAAAACCCGAGUUUAAGCCAACUUGGUUUUACUCUCUAAAUAUUUAAAUCUCUUUUUUUUCUCUAGUCAUUUCUGAUGAUUCCUCUACUUUUUACUGAUAGAGUGGUAGAAUCUGAAGACACAUGUUGUAGAUGCAGCUGGUUGGUGACUCUUGAGUGCGAUUUAAAUUCACAAGACCAACCCUAAAUGGAGUGGGCAAGUGGCCAAAUUACAAAGUUCUAUGCAUCUACAGGAAUACACAAGAUAAUUAGGGAUUCUAAUUAGAAAAGUGAUAUAUUGUUAUGGAAUGAGCUCCGAGCUUCUGGAAGCUCAUUUGAAAUGUUAAAUUUCUUUGGAAGGUCUUUAUGUUUUCUUUUCAUAUGAGGACCCAAAUUCCUUUUGCAAAAAUCAGUUUUAAGUUAUACCUUUAACAUGACUGCCCUUAAUUAAUUUUCAGGGCUCAAGAACUAUGAAUUUUGGGUUUAUCCUAUCAAUUUAAUUCCCAAAUCCUGGUAGAUGUCCCAAAAAGAAGAAAAGAAAAAGCAUAAAACUCCAUACUCAAAAGUGCCCAUUAGUCAGCUUUCAGCAUGCCAAGUUGUCAAGUGAUACGACAGUUAUGAUCUUUGAAGCUUUCAAAAAAAGCUGGAGAACUUUGUGUGAAGAGCUGGAUUUUAUGGCUUUUGUCUGUGCCAAAGGGAUUGUCCAACAGAAAGUACCCUGAAUAGAGGCCAUAGCAAGCAUAAAAGCAACAAUUUAUCAAGCUGCCUGAGGGAAUGAUGUGAAAAAUGCUCAUCAAGAAUAUCCAUCUGGACAGGACAAAAAAUGAUGCUGAGAGGACUUUGGAGAGUUUCUACCCAAUUUUCCUAAAUUCCAGGAAGUUUUCUUAGUAGAACUGAUGAUGAUUGAAAGCCACUUCAUUUCUGGGAUACUAGAGACUUCUGGUCUGCAUAUGUGACUGUAGGAGGAAAUAAAUAAUUCAUACUUUGGAAAAAUUCUAAUUACCUAAAGAUGACUCUCACGGAGUAAGAGGGAAAUGGGCAUUUGUCUUGUUUUCCCAAACUCUUUCAGUAUGCAGUGACUAAUAAUUAAGGUAACAACAUGAUUUUGGAAGGGCUUUUUCUUUUUGAGCUCUCUUAUCUG
rnacentral:lncRNA from 1 species